AGUGAACGCUGGCGGUAGGCCUAACACAUGCAAGUCGAACGGCAGCACAGUAAGAGCUUGCUCUUACGGGUGGCGAGUGGCGGACGGGUGAGGAAUACAUCGGAAUCUACUUUUUCGUGGGUGAUAACGUAGGGAAACUUACGCUAAUACCGCAUACGACCUACGGGUGAAAGCAGUGGAUCUUCGGACCUUUCGCGAUUGAAUGAGCCGAUGUCGGAUUAGCUAGUUGGCGGGGUAAAGGCCCACCAAGGCGACGAUCCGUAGCUGGUCUGAGAGGAUGAUCAGCCACACUGGAACUGAGACACGGACCAGACGACUACGGGAGGCAGCAGUGGGGAAUAUUGGACAAUGGGCGCAAGCCUGAUCCAGCCAUACCGCGUGGGUGAAGAAGGCCUUCGGGUUGUAAAGACCUUUUGUUGGGAAAGAAAAGCAGCAGGUUAAUACCCCGCUGUUCUGACGGUACCCAAAGAAUAAGCACCGGCUAACUUCGUG
rnacentral:rRNA from 1 species